rnacentral:rRNA from 1 species
GGGGAAUCUUCCGCAAUGGGCGAAAGCCUGAUGCAGCGACACCGCGUGAGGGAAGAAGGCCUCAGGGCUGUAAACCUCUUUUAUGAGGGAAGAGAUAGGACGGUACCUCAUGAAUAAGAAUCGGCUAACUACGUGCCAGCAGCCGCGGUAAUACGUAGGAUUCGAGCGUUGUCCGGAUUUACUGGGCGUAAAGGGUGUGUAGGCGGCACGGCAAGUCUCAUGUGAAAUCUCCCGGCUCAACUGGGAGGGGUCAUGGGAAACUGCCGAGCUUGAGGGCAGCAGAGGAAAGCGGAAUUCCGGGAGUAGUGGUGAAAUGCGUAGAUACCCGGAGGAACACCAGAGGCGAAGGCGGCUUUCUGGGCUGUGCCUGACGCUGAGACACGAAAGCGUGGGGAGCAAACCGGAUUAGAUACCCGGGUAGUCCACGCCCUAAACGAUGGAUACUAGAUAUGGGGGGUAUCGACCCCUCCCGUGUCGGAGUUAACGCGAUAAGUAUCCCGCCUGGGGAGUACGGCCGCAAGGCUAAAACUCAAAGGAAUUGACGGGAGCCCGCACAAGCGGCGGAGCAUGCGGCUUAAUUCGAUGCAACCCGAAGAACCUUACCUGGACUUGACAUCACGGGAAAAACCCUGGAGACAGGGUGUGCGUAAGCGUCCGUGACAGGUGGUGCAUGGUUGUCGUCAGCUCGUGUCGUGAGAUGUUGGGUUAAGUCCCGCAACGAGCGCAACCCCCGUCCUAUGUUGCCAGCACGUAACGGUGGGGACUCAUAGGAGACUGCCGGGGAUAACUCGGAGGAAGGUGGGGAUGACGUCAAAUCAUCAUGCCCCUUAUGUCCAGGGCUGCGCGCAUGCUACAAUGGUCGGUACAACGGGUAGCGAUCCCGCGAGGGUGAGCCAAUCCCUUAAAGCCGGCCUCAGUUCGGAUUGGAGUCUGCAACUCGACUCCAUGAAGUCGGAGUCGCUAGUAAUCGCAAAUCAGCAAAGUUGCGGUGAAUACGUUCUCGGGCUUUGUACACACCGCCCGU